rnacentral:rRNA from 1 species
UACGAAGGGGGCUAGCGUUGUCCGGAUUUAUUGGGCGUAAAGAGCUCGUAGGCGGUUGGGUAAGUCGGGGGGGAAAACUCCGGGCUCAACUCGGAGACGCCACCCGAUACUGCUCUGACUUGAGUCCGGUAGGGGAGUGGGGAAUUCCUGGUGUAGCGGUGAAAUGCGCAGAUAUCAGGAGGAACACCGGUGGCGAAGGCGCCACUCUGGGCCGGAACUGACGCUGAGGAGCGAAAGCGUGGGUAGCAAACAGG